rnacentral:rRNA from 1 species
UGGGGAAUCUUGCACAAUGGGGGCAACCCUGAUGCAGCGACGCCGCGUGAGCGAUGAAGGUUUUCGAAUCGUAAAGCUCUGUCCUAUGGGAAGAUAAUGACGGUACCAUAGGAGGAAGCCCCGGCUAACUACGUGCCAGCAGCCGCGGUAAUACGUAGGGGGCGAGCGUUGUCCGGAAUUACUGGGCGUAAAGGGUUCGCAGGCGGCAUGGCAAGUCCGAUGUAAAAGGCGAAGGCUUAACCUUCGUAAGCAUCGGAAACUGUCAAGCUUGAGUGAAGGAGAGGCAAGUGGAAUUCCUAGUGUAACGGUGGAAUGCGUAGAUAUUAGGAGGAAUACCGGUGGCGAAGGCGACUUGCUGGACUUCAACUGACGCUGAGGAACGAAAGCGUGGGUAGCAAACAGG